AANUCCAGCCNAUGCCGCGUGCAAGGAUGANGGUCCUAUGGAUUGUAAACUGCUUUUAUACAGGAAGAAACCCUGGUUCGUGAACCAGCUUGACGGUACUGUAAGAAUAAGGAUCGGCUAACUCCGUGCCAGCAGCCGCGGUAAUACGGAGGAUCCAAGCGUUAUCCGGAAUCAUUGGGUUUAAAGGGUCCGUAGGCGGUUUAGUAAGUCAGUGGUGAAAGCCCAUCGCUCAACGGUGGAACGGCCAUUGAUACUGCUAAACUUGAAUUAUUAGGAAGUAACUAGAAUAUGUAGUGUAGCGGUGAAAUGCUUAGAGAUUACAUGGAAUACCAAUUGCGAAGGCAGGUUACUACUAAUUGAUUGACGCUGAUGGACGAAAGCGUGGGUAGCGAACAGGAUUAGAUACCCUGGUAGUCCACGCCGUAAACGAUGGAUACUAGCUGUUGGAAGCAAUUUCAGUGGCUAAGCGAAAGUGAUAAGUAUCCCACCUGGGGAGUACGUUCGCAAGAAUGAAACUCAAAGGAAUUGACGG
rnacentral:rRNA from 1 species